rnacentral:rRNA from 1 species
UACAGAGGUCUCAAGCGUUGUUCGGAUUCAUUGGGCGUAAAGGGGUGCGUAGGCGGCGCGGUAAGUCGGGUGUGAAAUCUCGGAGCUUAACUCCGAAAACUGCAUUCGAUACUGCCGUGCUUGAGGACUGGAGAGGAGACUGGAAUUCAUGGUGUAGCAGUGAAAUGCGUAGAGAUCAUGAGGAAGACCAGUGGCGAAGGCGGGUCUCUGGACAGUUCCUGACACUGAGACACGAAGGCCAGGGGAGCAAACGGG